GUUUUAGUAAUACCGGAUAUGUAAUAAACAAUAUGAUAAAUUCAUUCUUCAGCAAUAUAUGUACAAAAUUAAUUUGAAGCUCUGAAAUGAUCUUUCGGAAAAAAGUGUAUAAACUGCAUACGAAGAUUUCAUCUUCCUUACGGCAUUCUAUGUUGAAGAUCUAAAAGAAAAAAAAGUUAGUCUCCUGUUGCAUUUUUAAAUAAGUUUAUUUGGAAAAAAUGUGUAGAAACUGAAUACUAACAUUUGAUCUUCUUUCUAUCGUUCUGUCCUGAAGGUAUCAAAGAACAGAGUGUGUCUUAUGUUGUAUAGUUAAGUUAUUGAUUGGUAGUGUUGUCAUUACUCAUUACCAUGGAUGGAAAUGCUUUUCAUGCAACCAAAUUUAUGCAGGGUUCAGCCACCGAGUUGAACUCUCAUGGUUUCGCAACUCCAUGGUCCCAAGCCAACAUGUGUUCUCCGGAAGCCGGAAUCUGCUUAUAUAUACAACUGAGGUGAUGUCGGUAUGCCAUGUAGAUUGCAGUACCGCGACUGCUGUGCGGACUCCUGGUGUGCAUAAAGAUCACUCAUCUUUCUCUCAAGAAUUUGUAGGGAAAUUGUGCUUCCAAAUCACAUCUCUAACCCGUUGUUAGAUAAACAUUCCCACUCGGGAGGUAUUUGCUAUACAGGCAACUUAUAUCACUCAACUCAUCAAACUGAUCUCUACUUUUACUAUAUACAUGCUCAUGAAAUAAAUGGCCACUUAUUGCAGAUAUGAGAAUCAACCAGAUGAAAUAGAAUGGCACGGAUCAGAAAAUGGAAGGCCUAACCCUGUUCAGACAACAUUGUAUACUUUGUCCAAAGAAGAAAGAGAUUUCAUUGUGAUUACGUUUAGAACUAUUGAUAAAAUAACUAUGCAUUGUUGUUCGCUUAUCCCUAAACAUAUCAAUACCAUUGAUAACAUGCAGGGAAAGUACUAUAAGCUGGCAAUUAUUGUCACAGAGGUCGAUGAUUCUGAUGGCUGGUGGUUCAUGUCCUGCAAGGUAUGCUGGAAAAAGGGAUUACCUAAUGGAAAUGCUUAUAGAUGCACCGGGAAACUGCCCCUGCAAAGAAGGGAGGCACAGGUAAGCAACUGCCGCUACUCAUAUAAACCAUAUAAAUAAAGAUGUCUUUGUUCGCAGGUAAUACUGCUAGCCCAGCGUUGCCAUCGGGAAGCAACAAAAACUCCACCGUCUACAGAAAAAGCUUCGGUGCCUUCUCCAUCUGACGAAGUGGCAAAUGCAUAAGAAGAUAGCAUAGCUUCAGCCACCACUCCAAGCAAAUCCAUCUCAGAAAAGGCUGAAUCCAGUGUAGACAAUGUUAGUACAAACUGGACUUUAUCCAUGCUCUCAAUUCCAGGGCAGCCACAGCUUAAAAGGGACACAGUAUUAUGCCAUAAUCUAGAUCAAAGAACAGCAGUUUUUCCUACUGAAGAUGUCAGCUCAACAUCAGCUAAGAAAUAGUUCAAAAAGGCGCUCACCACUUGCCAGUAAGCAUAAAACUCAAACACAAGUUACCCAGAACCAAUGCAGUUGUAAGAAAAUACCAACUUUACCUCAGGUCCAAGAACAGGUCAAUUCAGACUGAAAACCACCAGCAGAAGAGGAAGAUCGGUGAAGUGCAGAUUCCCUAGACUACCGGGAUCAGUUGUGAAAUAUUAUGUAACUAACAGCUGCUCUAGACAAUAUGUGCUUUGAAGUACCUGGUACCUAGCUGUAGAAGUACCUGAUCCCAUAUUACUUCAGUGCUAUGUUUGCAUGUACAAUAGCACAAACCUGUCUACCGUUCCAGCAAGCACAAGCAACAAGUACUUCUGUUCUGUCUUUA